AACGCACGAGACCUGCGGACCUGCGGAAGGAUCAUUACAGGACUCGCAAGACUCCUACAACCCUGUGAACUUAACUAUAAGCACGUUGCUUCGGCGGGUGUCUCGGCGAGGGUUCUCCCUCCCCGGGGCGCUAAGCCCGCCGGCAGCCCACUAUACUCUGUCUCUUUGCGUUGGCAUCUCGAGUACAAACAAACAAGUUAAAACUUUCAACAAUGGAUCUCUAGAUCGGAAGAGCACACG
rnacentral:misc_RNA from 1 species